UCCUACGGGAGGCAGCAGUGGGGAAUAUUGGACAAUGGGCGCAAGCCUGAUCCAGCCAUGCCGCGUGAGUGAUGAAGGCCCUAGGGUUGUAAAGCUCUUUCACCGGAGAAGAUAAUGACGGUAUCCAGAGAAGAAGCCCCGGCUAACUUCGUGCCAGCAGCCGCGGUAAUACGAAGGGGGCUAGCGUUGUUCGGAUUUACUGGGCGUAAAGCGCACGUAGGCGGAUCGAUCAGUCAGGGGUGAAAUCCCAGAGCUCAACUCUGGAACUGCCUUUGAUACUGUCGAUCUGGAGUAUGGAAGAGGUGAGUGGAAUUCCGAGUGUAGAGGUGAAAUUCGUAGAUAUUCGGAGGAACACCAGUGGCGAAGGCGGCCAUCUGGGACAACACUGACGCUGAGGCGCGAAAGCGUGGGGAGCAAACAGGAUUAGAUACCCUGGUAGUCCACGCUGUAAACGAUGUGCGCUGGAUGUUGGGUAACUUAGUUACUCAGUGUCGUAGCUAACGCGAUAAGCGCACCGCCUGGGGAGUACGGCCGCAAGGUUGAAACUCAAAUGAAUUGACGGA
rnacentral:rRNA from 1 species